rnacentral:rRNA from 1 species
CAGCCGCCACGGGAAUACGAAGGGGGCUAGCGUUGCUCGGAAUCACUGGGCGUAAAGGGUGCGUAGGCGGGUCUUUAAGUCAGGGGUGAAAUCCUGGAGCUCAACUCCAGAACUGCCUUUGAUACUGAAGAUCUUGAGUUCGGGAGAGGUGAGUGGAACUGCGAGUGUAGAGGUGAAAUUCGUAGAUAUUCGCAAGAACACCAGUGGCGAAGGCGGCUCACUGGCCCGAUACUGACGCUGAGGCACGAAAGCGUGGGGAGCAAACAGGAUUAGAUACCCCCGUAGUCCCUGUCUCUUAUAC